rnacentral:rRNA from 1 species
GGGAAUAUUGGGCAAUGGGCGCAAGCCUGACCCAGCAACACCGCGUGAGGGAAGAAGGCUUUCGGGUUGUAAACCUCUGUCCUUGGUGACGAAAAAAAUGACGGUAGCCAAGGAGGAAGCCCCGGCUAACUACGUGCCAGCACCGCGGUAAUACUAGGGGGCGAGCGUUGUCCGGAAUUACUGGGCGUAAAGGGUGCGUAGGUGGCCUUUUAAGUUGGAUGUGAAAUACCCGGGCUUAACUUGGGGGGUGCAUCCAAAACUGGGAGGCUAGAGUGCAGGAGAGGAAAGCGGAAUUCCUAGUGUAGCGGUGAAAUGCGUAGAUAUUAGGAGGAACACCAGUGGCGAAGGCGGCUUUCUGGACUGUAACUGACACUGAGGCACGAAAGCGUGGGGAGCAAACAGGAUUAGAUACCCUGGUAGUCCACGCGGUAAACGAUGAAUACUAGGUGUAGGGGGUAUCAACUCCCCCUGUGCCGGAGCUAACGCAAUAAGUAUUCCGCCUGGGGAGUACGG